GAAAUGUGGAUCAUCAAACUUAAUCUGCCCAUGAUGAGGGAAGAGGAGUGGGAAUUCCAUCUCUGUGUAAGCUUUAUGAGUAGGCAGAGAGCCAGUGAAUAUUCAUCGACCAGAUAAACGGCUGAAUGAAAACCAAAUGAGCCAUCAUGGAUGGGCUUGCGCGGUGAAAGAACUGAACUGGGGAAAUAGCUGUGUGCUUGGACCAAGGGACUCGGGGAAAACUCAUCAUUCACUUUCAUACAGUUCAGAAGACGUAGGAUCAAAUCACAGGUCCACUUCUAUCAACUGUUGUGAUUUUAGAUAAAUUACUGAGUUGAGAAGGUACUUUUUUC